rnacentral:tRNA from 1 species
GCCUGGUUGGCUCAGUUGGCAGAGCAUGCGACUCUUGAUCUCAAGGUUGUGCGUUCGAGCCUCAUGUUGGGUG